CAAAUGAAUUGACGGGGGCCCGCACAAGCGGUGGAGCAUGUGGUUUAAUUCGAUGCAACGCGAAGAACCUUACCUGGUCUUGACAUCCACAGAAGAAUCCAGAGAUGGAUUUGUGCCUUCGGGAACUGUGAGACAGGUGCUGCAUGGCUGUCGUCAGCUCGUGUUGUGAAAUGUUGGGUUAAGUCCCGCAACGAGCGCAACCC
rnacentral:rRNA from 1 species